rnacentral:tRNA from 1 species
ACUUAAAUAGCUUAUUAUUAGAGCAUAAUUUUGAAGAAAUUAGGGAAGUUUUAUAACUUUUAAGUA